rnacentral:rRNA from 1 species
UGCCAGCCGCCGCGGUAAUACGGAGGGUGCAAGCGUUGCUCGGAAUUACUGGGCGUAAAGCGUGCGCAGGCGGCGCAGCAAGUCAGACGUGAAAGACCGGGGCUCAACCCCGGGAGGUCGUUUGAAACUGCUGUGCUUGAGUACGGGAGAGGGGUGUGGAAUUCCCAGUGUAGGAGUGAAAUCCGUAGAUAUUGGGAGGAACACCAGUGGCGAAGGCGACACCCUGGCCCGAGACUGACACUCAGAGGCGAAAGCUAGGGUAGCAAAAGGGAUUAGAUA